ACCGCAUCAGGUCUCCAAG
rnacentral:snRNA from 1 species